rnacentral:rRNA from 1 species
CACGUAGGGUGCGAGCGUUGUCCGGAAUUAUUGGGCGUAAAGAGCUCGUAGGCGGUGUGUCGCGUCGGCCGUGAAAACCUGCAGCUUAACUGUGGGCGUGCGGUCGAUACGGGCAUCACUGGAGUUCGGCAGGGGAGACUGGAAUUCCUGGUGUAGCGGUGAAAUGCGCAGAUAUCAGGAGGAACACCGGUGGCGAAGGCGGGUCUCUGGGCCGAUACUGACGCUGAGGUGCGAAAGCGUGGGGGAGCAAACAGG